rnacentral:lncRNA from 1 species
CACUGCCCAUCAAUGCUGUGUUCAGCAGAAGUUACAGUCUCCUUACUGUGGAGUGUGUUGGCGGAGGAAGAUUUCAGUGUCUUUGAAGUCAUGCGCUGGCGAAGGUGACUGCGUUUUCACAUUUUACAAGAGAAGAAAAACCUGCUGUGAAAAUGGUGGGUGAUAUCGGUGGUGUGAGUUAGUGAUGGGUGGAUGAUGUGGGCUCUUGGAAUCAGCGGGUUGGAACUUGUUUUUGCUUAAGCAAUUCUGAAGAGUUGCUUAAAAGCUGAAAUUCUCGUACGAUGCAGCCGCUUUCAACCCACACUAGGGUACAUAUGAACCACAAUUUUUGACACCCACACCAUUUGUAAAGUUUCCAUGAUUACAGACCCUCAUUUAUGGAUCUCAAUAUUGGACAC